rnacentral:sRNA from 1 species
UUGACAACUUGUGCAAUUGCCUGAUGAAUUCUUAAUUGACUUAAAAGUAUGAGAUUUAAACCACAUUUCCAAGGACAAAUUCAAUGCAUUUUAACUAUAAAAAAGUAAAAAGUGAUAAAUUCAGUGGGGCCAAAUAAUGUAUUCCUACCACUAUGGAUGGUAAAAAUAUUUAUACAAAUUAACUCAAUUUCUAUGUGAUGGUGUGAAUUGUUGUGAAGAAAUCAACAAAUCGUGGGAUAUGAUUAUAACGUGGCUAUAUCUUCAAUGAAGUUGCGAUACAUUCUUAGAAAAUUUGCCCCAGAAACCGUGAGUCGAAAAUCAAAAGAGAGCUUGAAGGUCAACAGAAGAGCCAUCGUGCAAAAUAUCAGCCAAAUCGAAUAAGAAUUGAACCCUCUAGAUGCUCAAAUAGUUUAAUCGUGGUAUAUUAUGUUAUGUUAUAAAACGAUUCGGUUCAUACUUGCCAUAGAUGUUAGAGGUCAAAAAAGUCAUUGUGCAAAAUUUCAGUUUAAAGCUGUGUAUGCACCUCUAGCGAAAUUUUCGGUUCCCGCUAAGGCAUAUAUGUCGCCCCUGAAAAAUAGUUGUGUAGAAUACAAGAUGGCGACAAACAUCGAUUUAUAA